GAUGAACGCUGGCGGCGUGCCUAACACAUGCAAGUCGAACGGAUAAACCACCUUCGGGUGGAUAUACAGUGGCGAACGGGUGAGUAACACGUGACCAACCUACCCCCCGCACCGGGACAACCUCGGGAAACCGAGGCUGAUACCGGAUGCACCGCCCCCCUCACCUGAGGGGGGUGGGAAAGCUCAGGCGGCGGGGGAUGGGGUCGCGACCCAUCAGGUAGUAGGCGGGGUAACGGCCCACCUAGCUUACGACGGGUAGCCGGGCUGAGAGGCCGGACGGCCACAUUGGGACUGAGAUACGGCCCAGACUCCUACGGGAGGCAGCAGUGGGGAAUCUUGCGCAAUGGGGGAAACCCUGACGCAGCAACGCCGCGUGCGGGACGAAGGCCUUCGGGUUGUAAACCGCUUUCAGCAGGGAAGAAAUUGACGGUACCUGCAGAAGAAGCCCCGGCUAACUACGUG
rnacentral:rRNA from 1 species